GGAGAGGUGUCCGAGUGGCCGAAGGAGCACGCUUGGAAAGCGUGUGUAGGGGUUAACUCUACCGCGGGUUCGAAUCCCGCCCUCUCCGCCA
rnacentral:tRNA from 1 species